rnacentral:rRNA from 1 species
AUGGCAGCAUCCUCGGACCUUCGAAAGCAGCUGCAUGUCGAAAAUCUGGAGCUUUGCAGGCUGCCCAUCCAGAAGGGUUGCCGUGGAACCCUCGGGUUCUCUGCAGUGCUGCCGCAGAGAAUGAUCUUAUGCCAGAUGGAUUGUUCAGAUAUUUGA